CCUACGGGUGGCAGCAGUGAGGAAUAUUGGUCAAUGGGCGGAAGCCUGAACCAGCCAAGUAGCGUGAGGGAUGAAGGUACAGAGUAUCGUAAACCUCUUUUGUCAGGGAACAAAGGCGGGGACGCGUCCCCGGAUGAGUGUACCUGAAGAAAAAGCAUCGGCUAACUCCGUGCCAGCAGCCGCGGUAAUACGGAGGAUGCGGGCGUUAUCCGGAUUUAUUGGGUUUAAAGGGUGCGCAGGCGGUCUGUUAAGUCAGCGGUCAAAGCCCGGGGCUCAACCCCGGCCCGCCGUUGAAACUGGCAGUCUCGAGUUGGAGAGAAGUAUGCGGAAUGCGCGGUGUAGCGGUGAAAUGCAUAGAUAUCGCGCAGAACUCCGAUUGCGAAGGCAGCAUGCCGGCUCCACACUGACGCUGAGGCACGAAAGCGUGGGUAUCGAACAGGAUUAGAUACCCUAGUAGUC
rnacentral:rRNA from 1 species